UUGAAACUCGGAUGCUCCUUA
rnacentral:siRNA from 1 species